AUGGCUCAGGAUGAACGCUAGCGGCAGGCUAACACAUGCAAGUCGAGGGGCAUCGGGAGUAGCAAUACUUGCCGGCGACCGGCGCAAGGGUGCGUAACGCGUGAGCAACAUGCCCGUAUCAGGGGGAUAAUCCAUGGAAACGUGGUCUAAUACCCCAUAGUAAUUAUGUAAGGCAUCUUAUAUAAUUUAAAGCUUUGGUGGAUACGGAUUGGCUCGCGUGACAUUAGCUGGAUGGUAAGGUAACGGCUUACCAUGGCUACGAUGUCUAGGGGUUCUGAGAGGAAGGUCCCCCACACUGGAACUGAGACACGGUCCAGACUCCUACGGGAGGCAGCAGUGAGGAAUAUUGGACAAUGGAUGGAAAUCUGAUCCAGCCAUGCCGCGUGCAGGAAGACGGCCCUAUGGGUUGUAAACUGCUUUUGUAUGGGAGCAAUAAGGGCUACGUGUAGUCCGAUGAGAGUACCAUACGAAUAAGCACCGGCUAACUCCGUGCCAGCCGCCGC
rnacentral:rRNA from 1 species